GUGGUUACAGUUAUUACGUUAGACAGUGGUGUUAAACAGUCUGAUGAAACCAAAUAAACACCUGAAUAAAAACAUUUGCUUAAUUUCUUUAUGUUGUUACAACUUUUAAGUUUAAUAUUAGGACUUUUCCAAAGAGAAAUGUUCUCUUACUAAAGUUCAAUUCCCCCCACAAAUCAUUCUCCUCUUGUCUUCUUGAAAAUAAUCAGAAUACAUCCACGACGCAGAGUGGGAGGAGAUGUUAUUUUAAACAAAAACAGUAUUGUUUGUGUGCAGCUAAAAAUAGUUGCAACUGUCAAAAACAAUAAUGCCAGAGGUGGGUGUGGUCCAUGCAGCCAAAGGCAAAGACAACACCUACCUAGCAUGCAUUUAAAGGGUCUGUGGACCAAAGUCAGAGCUUUAUGGGUGAAGAUGGUCGAGUACAAAAAGGAGGAAAAGAGAUUUUAGAUAAACAGAGACAGACUGUCCUUUCAAAAUAAAAGAUGUCCUUAAAGAACAGACUAAACAGAGUUGACGGAGCUUCUUGGAUCAAAGAAAGUAAACGUUGGAUCAAAGACCCUACAGAGAUGACCCAGUCUUUCAGCUCUUCCAUGAGGGAUGCGUGCAGGCUUCUGGAAGCUUCCAGCUCUACUCCUGCAUCCUCGUACUCAUCUCCACGGCGAGCUCGUCCUCCUCGUAGAGUUCUUUAUCCAGCCUUCCAGAGCAGGAGGGCCCUACCUGAGGAAGCUCCAGACCAAGCCAAACGAUGGCUGCUGCUCCUCUCUGCUCUCAUCUUCCUACAGAUCUACACUGAGGACACUCACACCGGCACAGAUCUGCACAGUCAGAGUCCAGAGUUAGCAUCCUGUUAUCCUUCAGAGGGUGAUGGGAGCACAGCUACAUCUGUAGCUACAGCGUGGACAGAUAAAGUGUCAUGGACGCUACAGUUGGUGCUGGAGGAGGAAUCAGAACAGCAAAGGAUGUGCAUGGUGCUGUAAUCACAACAAAUAACCAGGACCUUUUUACUGUAAAGAACAACAGAACAAUUAUGAAACUCUUUUCAUAAUGUAUGAAAACAAUCAUAUAGGCCACAGCACACGCUUCACUGUAAAGACUCAACUAUCAACGUUAACAUUUCUUCACUGUGGACAUCACAGAAAGGAGUUUUUAACUUUGGAAAGAUGUACAUUUUGUUUGCUGCAUAUUGAGUAUAUAUUAAAUACAUGUGUUCUUAUGUUUGUGGGGAUUUUAUUCAAUGUCGUGAUUAUAAAAAGCAUGUAAACGAAUAUAGUAGGUUCUGUGAAAUGUUUCUAACUGAUGAUCAUGUUGUGUUCAAAAUGAUUAAUUACUGAAAGUAUGUCAUUAAUAAAGCUGAUAAUAAAAUAUUAAAACA
rnacentral:lncRNA from 1 species